rnacentral:sRNA from 1 species
CCCCGCCGGGCGGCUGGGCCGUGGCGCGCCUGGAGGGCCGCGAGUUCGAGUAUCUGAUGAAGAAGCGCUCGGUGACCAUCGGCCGCAACUCGUCGCAGGGCUCGGUGGACGUGAGCAUGGGCCACUCGAGCUUCAUCUCCCGGCGCCACCUCGAGAUCUUCACGCCCCCGGGCGGCGGCGGCCAUGGCGGGGCCGCUCAGGAGCUGCCGCCCGCGCAGCCCAGGCCCGACGCCGGCGGCGACUUCUACCUGCGCUGCUUGGGCAAGAACGGGGUAUUCGUGGACGGCGUGUUCCAGAGGCGCGGGGCGCCGCCGCUGCAGCUGCCGCGCGUGUGCACAUUCAGGUUCCCGAGCACAAACAUCAAGAUAACGUUCACUGCCCUGUCCAGCGAGAAGAGAGAGAAGCAGGAGGCGUCUGAGUCUCCAGUGAAGGCCGUACAGCCACACAUCUCGCCCCUGACCAUCAACAUUCCAGACACCAUGGCGCACCUCAUCAGCCCUCUGCCCUCCCCCACGGGAACCAUCAGGAUGAUUCAAAGCCGCCUUACUCCUACGCGCAGCUGAUAGUUCAGGCGAUUACGAUGGCUCCCGACAAACAGCUCACCCUGAACGGGAUUUAUACACACAUCACUAAAAAUUAUCCCUACUACAGGACUGCGGACAAGGGCUGGCAGGUAAAUGCCUUCAGUUUGUUGUUAAAUAGAGGCUGAUGGAUACCGAGAAGAAAGUGGAGCGGCUGCUGUCUGGAACGCAGGCACAGGUUAGGAAGGUAGAAGCGGG